rnacentral:rRNA from 1 species
GAUCAUGGCUCAGGAUGAACGCUAGCUACAGGCUUAACACAUGCAAGUCGAGGGGCAGCAUCGCGAUAGCUUGCUAUUGCGGAUGGCGACCGGCGCACGGGUGAGUAACGCGUAUCCAACCUUCCCGCAACUGGGAUAACCUUGCGAAAGUAAGACUAAUACCCCAUGGUCUCACGGAUGGCAUCUGAAAUGGAGUAAAGGUUUCCGGCCGGUUAGCGGAUGGGGAUGCGUCCGA